CAUAGCGACUAUCGUGGCAUAUCAAUAAGCGGAGGAAAAGAAACUAACAAGGAUUCCCCUAGUAACGGCGAGUGAAGCGGGAAGAGCUCAAAUUUGAAAUCUUCAAGGGUUCUACCUUGACGAAUUGUAGUUUAUAGAAGUGUUUUCUGUUAGUAGAGUGGCAAAAGUUCUUUGGAAUAGGACAUCAUAGAGGGUGAGAAUCCCGUAUUUGGUCAUUCUCUUCCUAGCUUUGUGAUACACUUUCAACGAGUCGGAUUGUUUGGGAAUGCAGUCCAAGAUGGGUGGUAAAUUUCAUCUAAAGCUAAAUAUUGGCGAGAGACCGAUAGCGAACAAGUACCGUGAGGGAAAGAUGAAAAGAACUUUGAAAAGAGAGUUAAACAGUACGUGAAAUUGUCAAAAGGGAAGCGUUUGACACCAGUGUUGUUUUUCCGAAAAUCAACUACGAAUGUUUCGUUUUUGAGGAGUUAUGACUUCAUCGGCUUGCUCCUUUCUUUAUGAAACUUUCUUAAUGCACUUUUCGGUUAACAAGUCAACAUCAAUUUCUUUUGUUGUAAAAGGGUAUGAGGAAGGUGGCUUUCUUUUCGGAGAAAGUGUUUAUAGCCUUGUGACUUCUGCAAUCGGAGAGAUUGAGGUCUGCAGCGUAGAUCCUUCGGGGUUAGAUACAGUUUGUGCUAAGUUAUAGUUUUUCAUAGACAACUUGUUGACUAUGAUUGAUCUUGUAGCUUACUCGCUUAUGCUAUUUUACCUACGCUUAGGAUGUUGACGAGACUGUCGAUCUC
rnacentral:rRNA from 1 species